UGGUCAAAGGAACAUGUGUAACUGAGUAGAAUUGAAUGAUUAGGUGUAUCUAGUUAAAUAAUAUUAGUUGUGUUGCCAUUUAACAUAUAUAGCCAUUUCCAUUUUUGGAAAGCUGCGAUGUGAAAAAAAUGAGCAGAACUCGAUCAGGUGUAAUUCAAGGCCUCCUGAAAGGGAUUUCAUAAAACUAUGAAUUAUGUCAUUAUUAGUGGCAAUGUGCCCAGAUUUGCCCUACUUUAUUAUUUUACUCUGUCUAUAUAUGCCAGACGAUUUUACUCGUCAGGGGGAGAGUGCUGCCACACCAAUGGCUUAAUGAGUUAUGUCCAUGCAUCCUGUUAACCCUUUAAGUGGCAAUGCACCCUACUUUAUUAUUUUACUCUGUCGAACGCCAGACGAUUUGACUUGUCAGGGGAGAGUGCUGGUGCUUAGUGGGUUAACACACUGAAUUUUAACUGCCUGAUGACUGUCACUGUACAAGGUACAUGGCAUGAAACUUAAAGUAGC